rnacentral:rRNA from 1 species
UACGUAGGGAGCGAGCGUUUGUCCGGAUUCAUUGGGCGUAAAGAGCUCGUUAGGCGGCUUGAUAAGUCGGAUGUGAAACCUCCAGGCUCAACCUGGAGUCGCCAUCCGAUACUGUCAUGGCUAGAGUCCGGUAGGGGCCCACGGAAUUCCUGGUGUAGCGGUGAAAUGCGCAGAUAUCAGGAGGAACACCGGUGGCGAAGGCGGUGGGCUGGGCCGGCACUGACGCUGGAGGAGCGAAAGCGUGGGGAGCGAACAGG